CAAAUCUAAGCGAGCACUUAAGCACACUUCGGCAAUUUCGACGUUGUCGUUUGGUUUGCCGUCCCUACUUUCCUGAGCUUGAACUACGAAUAUUUGAACAAGAGGUUGUCACCACUUCAUUAACACUGUUUUAAGGGAAGUUCGCUUUUAUUUUCUGUGCCAUCCGAGAUCCCUUCUACUCCAGCCGCCGAGAAAAGCACUUCUACGGCACAAUUUUUUAUGGAAGAAGCUACUGGAAUUUCAAUCUUCAAACGAAUAAACAAGCGAAAGCCCGCGUUCAUUUAUCUUGGUGUCCGUCAAGAAAGAGCCUUCGACAAAUCCAGAUCCUUUGGUUUUAUUGGCUCCUUUGAAUAUCUUUCUAUUAGCCAAUAGGAAAACAGACCUUGGCAGUUGGAAUUGGCCUUGGGCGCUUCGUUUCUGCUGGCCAAUAGGAACGCGGACUCAGAGGAGUAUGUUAUGAAUCACGUUAUGUACAAAUAAGUGUAAAACCAACCAAACAUCAACAUUAUGUAGCCAGCGGUAUAUAUCAGAGAGGUCGCGUUUCAUUGGCUUAGAACCGUUGCGUCAUAUUAUACACAACAACGUUGCCUCCGAAAUGUUACCCUUAAGACUUAACUGGUCCACACUAGCUGUGCUUGUAAUGACUUCCAUGUUCUUCCAUGACCUCACAACUACACAAGAACUUUCCGUAAAA